GCCUUUCUGGCCUGUUGGAAGAGGAUGUUCUGCCAGGCAGCCAGCCUGACUCCUUCAGUUCUGCAUGAGGCAAGGAAGGAAAGUCCACUUCUGCCUCUGAGCUGGCACUCUGCGGCAAAUGCAGUCUCAGCUAUACUGGCUGGUUCUUUCCUGGGAAAUUUGGCAGACCCACACCUAAAGGAGGAGUUUCCAGAAUAGAAAUUUCAGCUGGAUAGCUGGUGGCCGACUCUCCCUGGAUGUGAAAUUCAAAUGAUCUCCAAAGCUUCCCUGUGACCAUCAGUCGCUGCACGCAGUGGUACACGCCACAUGCAGGGUGAAAGAAAAGCCAUCCCAUCCAAGAGUCCACAGUGUUGCUGGGCCCUGGUGUAUCUCAAAGCUUUGGCACCUCAGUGGAGGGAUUGUCACUGCUGGUGGAAGCUGUCUCCUAAGAUGUCUCCACCUGUCUCCACCUUUCUUUCUCGUCUCUUGACCCCUUUAGCCUGGCCCUCUGGAAGGCAGAAGGAGAUGACAAGCAGAAGGACCAGUUUUCUCCUUCUGAUGGGUAAGGAUGGAAAGGAGGUGAUGAUAAAAAGAGAAGAGGAUUUUAAAAAGUUAAAUAAUGUAAAUACAGCAUAGAGAGCAGA